rnacentral:rRNA from 1 species
UGGGGAAUUUUGGACAAUGGGCGAAAGCCUGAUCCAGCAAUGCCGCGUGUGUGAAGAAGGCCUUCGGGUUGUAAAGCACUUUUGUCCGGAAAGAAAUCCUUGGCUCUAAUACAGUCGGGGGAUGACGGUACCGGAAGAAUAAGCACCGGCUAACUACGUGCCAGCAGCCGCGGUAAUACGUAGGGUGCAAGCGUUAAUCGGAAUUACUGGGCGUAAAGCGUGCGCAGGCGGUUUGCUAAGACCGAUGUGAAAUCCCCGGGCUCAACCUGGGAACUGCAUUGGUGACUGGCAGGCUAGAGUAUGGCAGAGGGGGGUAGAAUUCCACGUGUAGCAGUGAAAUGCGUAGAGAUGUGGAGGAAUACCGAUGGCGAAGGCAGCCCCCUGGACCAAUACUGACGCUCAUGCACGAAAGCGUGGGGAGCAAACAGGAUUAGAUACCCUGGUAGUCCACGCCCUAAACGAUGUCAACUAGUUGUUGGGGAUUCAUUUCCUUAGUAACGUAGCUAACGCGUGAAGUUGACCGCCUGGGGAGUACGGUCGCAAGAUUAAAACUCAAA